GAUGAACGCUGGCGGCGUGCCUAAUACAUGCAAGUCGAGCGAACAGACGAGGAGCUUGCUCCUCUGACGUUAGCGGCGGACGGGUGAGUAACACGUGGAUAACCUACCUAUAAGACUGGGAUAACUUCGGGAAACCGGAGCUAAUACCGGAUAAUAUAUUGAACCGCAUGGUUCAAUAGUGAAAGACGGUUUUGCUGUCACUUAUAGAUGGAUCCGCGCCGCAUUAGCUAGUUGGUAAGGUAACGGCUUACCAAGGCAACGAUGCGUAGCCGACCUGAGAGGGUGGUCGGCCACCCUGGAUCUGAGCCACGGUCCAGACUCCUGCGGGAGGCAGCAGUAGGGAAUCUUCCGCAAUGGGCGAAAGCCUGACGGAGCAACGCCGCGUGAGUGAUGAAGGUCUUCGGAUCGUAAAACUCUGUUAUUAGGGAAGAACAAAUGUGUAAGUAACUAUGCACGUCUUGACGGUACCUAAUCAGAAAGCCACGGCUAACUACGUG
rnacentral:rRNA from 1 species